GAUAACCAAAAAUUACCCUUGGAUCCAAAGUUGGAUUAAUAAGGCGAACUUCUCCGCCACCAGGUGCCCAAGUAUCAUAUGCUCCACCAAUAAAACACCAGUUUACUGACCAAGCUAAUGAACCUAUACCUAGAACUAUCAAAUGAUAACCAAGAAUGUUGGUCAUCUGAUUUUUAUCUCUCCA
rfam:Marine metagenome 1494144, whole genome shotgun sequence.